rnacentral:rRNA from 1 species
UGGGGAAUAUUGGACAAUGGGCGAAAGCCUGAUCCAGCCAUGCCGCGUGUGUGAAGAAGGUCUUCGGAUUGUAAAGCACUUUAAGUUGGGAGGAAGGGCAGUAAGCGAAUACCUUGCUGUUUUGACGUUACCGACAGAAUAAGCACCGGCUACCUCUGUGCCAGCAGCCGCGGUAAUACAGAGGGUGCAAGCGUUAAUCGGAAUUACUGGGCGUAAAGCGCGCGUAGGUGGUUCGUUAAGUUGAAUGUGAAAGCCCCGGGGUCAACCUGGGAACUGCAUCCAGAACUGGCGAGCUAGAGUAGGGCAGAGGGUGGUGGAAUUUCCUGUGUAGCGGUGAAAUGCGUAGAUAUAGGAAGGAACACCAGUGGCGAAGGCGACCACCUGGGCUCAUACUGACACUGAGGUGCGAAAGCGUGGGGAGCAAACAGG